GAUGAACGCUAGCGGGAGGCUUAACACAUGCGAGUCGUGGGGCAGCAUGGUGUAGCAAUACACUGAUGGCGACCGGCGCACGGGUGAGUAACGCGUAUGCAACCUACCCAGUACAGGGGGAUAGCCCGGAGAAAUUCGGAUUAAUACCCCAUAAUGAUAUAGAGAGGCAUCUUUUUAUAUUUAAAGCUACGGCGGUACUGGAUGGGCAUGCGUAAGAUUAGCUAGUUGGUAGGGUAACGGCCUACCAAGGCUCCGAUCUUUAGGGGUCCUGAGAGGGUGAUCCCCCACACUGGUACUGAGACACGGACCAGACUCCUACGGGAGGCAGCAGUGAGGAAUAUUGGUCAAUGGGCGCAAGCCUGAACCAGCCAUCCCGCGUGAAGGAAGAAGGCGCUAUGCGUUGUAAACUUCUUUUCCGGAGGAAUAAAAUUUUGUACGAGUACAGGACUGAAGGUACUCCGGGAAUAAGCAUCGGCUAACUCCGUGCCAGCCGCCGCGGUAAUAC
rnacentral:rRNA from 1 species